AGCUGCCCAGAGUGGCGCAAGCCACAUAUCCCGUGACAUUGCGAAAGCAAGGCUGGCGGUAGGUAGUCCUGGGCGGCGACAGCCUUGGACUGCGGCGUAAAGGUGUACCUGGGGCCGUUAAACCUAUCGU
rnacentral:sRNA from 12 species